GAUGAACGCUGGCGGCGUGCCUAAUACAUGCAAGUCGAGCGAACGGACGAGAAGCUUGCUUCUCUGAUGUUAGCGGCGGACGGGUGAGUAACACGUGGAUAACCUACCUAUAAGACUGGGAUAACUUCGGGAAACAGGAGCUAAUACCGGAUAAUAUUUUGAACCGCAUGGUUCAAAAGUGAAAGACGGUCUUGCUGUCACUUAUAGAUGGAUCCGCGCUGCAUUAGCUAGUUGGUAAGGUAACGGCUUACCAAGGCAACGAUGCAUAGCCGACCUGAGAGGGUGAUCGGCCACACUGGAACUGAGACACGGUCCAGACUCCUACGGGAGGCAGCAGUAGGGAAUCUUCCGCAAUGGGCGAAAGCCUGACGGAGCAACGCCGCGUGAGUGAUGAAGGUCUUCGGAUCGUAAAACUCUGUUAUUAGGGAAGAACAUAUGUGUAAGUAACUGUGCACAUCUUGACGGUACCUAAUCAGAAAGCCACGGCUAACUACGUG
rnacentral:rRNA from 1 species